rnacentral:lncRNA from 1 species
CUCAGUUUCCCUCUACCCUGAGUAACAUCUGAUCCUAUGACUAUCGUGGUCCCUCAGUUCCUGAUCAACAUGCUUCCAGUUGCAGAAAAAGGAAUGCAGGCCAGAUCUAGGAGGAGAUUAUAAAACCAUCAUCUUUUCCUAAGGACAAUCAAGGCAUCAAAGAGCCCCUAGUCAGCCC